AUUGAACGCUGGCGGCAGGCUUAACACAUGCAAGUCGAGCGGGGGAGAUUGCUUCGGUAAUUGACCUAGCGGCGGACGGGUGAGUAAUACUUAGGAAUCUGCCCAUUAAUGGGGGACAACAUCUCGAAAGGGAUGCUAAUACCGCAUACGCCCUACGGGGGAAAGCAGGGGAUCACUUGUGACCUUGCGUUAAUAGAUGAGCCUAAGUCGGAUUAGCUAGUUGGUGGGGUAAAGGCCUACCAAGGCGACGAUCUGUAGCGGGUCUGAGAGGAUGAUCCGCCACACUGGGACUGAGACACGGCCCAGACUCCUACGGGAGGCAGCAGUGGGGAAUAUUGGACAAUAGGGGGAACCCUGAUCCAGCCAUGCCGCGUGUGUGAAGAAGGCCUUAUGGUUGUAAAGCACUUUAAGCGAGGAGGAGGCUCUUUUGGUUAAUACCCAAGAUGAGCAGUGACGUUACUCGCAGAAUAAGCACCGGCUAACUCUGUGCCAGCAGCCGCCGUAAUAC
rnacentral:rRNA from 1 species